rnacentral:rRNA from 1 species
UACACUCCUGCGGGAGGCAGCAGUGGGGAAUUUUGGACAAUGGGCGAAAGCCUGAUCCAGCAAUGCCGCGUGAGUGAAGAAGGCCUUCGGGUUGUAAAGCUCUUUUGUCAGGGAAGAAACGGUGAAAGCUAAUAUCUUUUGCUAAUGACGGUACCUGAAGAACAAGCACCGGCUAACUACGUGCCAGCAGCCGCGGUAAUACGUAGGGUGCAAGCGUUAAUCGGAAUUACUGGGCGUAAAGCGUGCGCAGGCGGUUUUGUAAGUCUGAUGUGAAAUCCCCGGGCUCAACCUGGGAAUUGCAUUGGAGACUGCAAGGCUAGAAUCUGGCAGAGGGGGGUAGAAUUCCACGUGUAGCAGUGAAAUGCGUAGAUAUGUGGAGGAACACCGAUGGCGAAGGCAGCCCCCUGGGUCAAGAUUGACGCUCAUGCACGAAAGCGUGGGGAGCAAACAGGAUUAGAAACCCCAGUAGUCCCAUG